rnacentral:rRNA from 1 species
UACGUAGGGGGCUAGCGUUGUCCGGAAUCACUGGGCGUAAAGGGUUCGCAGGCGGAAAUGCAAGUCAGAUGUAAAAGGCAGUAGCUUAACUACUGUAAGCAUUUGAAACUGCAUAUCUUGAGAAGAGUAGAGGUAAGUGGAAUUUUUAGUGUAGCGGUGAAAUGCGUAGAUAUUAAAAAGAAUACCGGUGGCGAAGGCGACUUACUGGGCUCAUUCUGACGCUGAGGAACGAAAGCGUGGGUAGC